AUCCGGAGGGUGCAAGCGUUAAUCGGAAUUACUGGGCGUAAAGCGUACGUAGGCGGUUCGUUAAGUUAGAUGUGAAAGCCCCGGGCUUAACCUGGGAACUGCGUUUAAAACUGGCGAACUAGAGUUGAGUAGAGGGGAGUGGAAUUUCAGGUGUAGCGGUGAAAUGCGUAGAGAUCUGAAGGAACACCAGUGGCGAAGGCGACUCCCUGGACUCGAACUGACGCUGAGGUACGAAAGCGUGGGUAGCAAACGGGAUUAGAAACCCUUGUAGUCC
rnacentral:rRNA from 1 species